rnacentral:misc_RNA from 1 species
UGUACAUUCACAAUUGAUAUUGAUUUGCCAUACGAAGACACAGAAUUAAGUUCUGUUGAUAGCAAUAUGGCUACUGGUAAUAAUAUUUUUAAGCUAGGAAAGAAGAUAACAGUGUUAAGCAUUGAUGGAGGUGGGAUUAGAGGCAUCAUUCCUGGUAUCAUUCUUUCUUCUCUUGAAUCCAAGCUUCAGGAUUUGGAUGGACCAGAUGCAAGAAUUGCAGAUUAUUUCGAUAUAAUUGCAGGGACAAGUACUGGUGGGCUGCUAACCACCAUGCUUACAGCUCCAAACAAGGACAAAAGACCUAUUUACCAAGCAAAAGAUAUCCAAAACUUUUAUUUAGAUCACUGUCCAAAGAUUUUCCCCCAGAAAAGUCGAAAUAACUUCAUUAGCUCGAUAACAAAUUUUGUUGGCGCGGUUAUGGGGCCAAAAUAUAGUGGCAAAUAUCUGCAAGAAUUGACAAACCAGUUGCUUGGGGACUUGACCAUAAAAGAUACAUUGGCAGAUAUGAUUAUACCUGCAUUUGACAUCAAGAUUCUUCAGCCAGUUAUCUUCUCAACCGAUGAUGCAAAAGUUGAUGCUCUGAAAAAUGCUAGGCUGGCUGAUAUCUGCAUCAGCACCUCUGCAGCUCCAACUUUCUUUCCAGCACAUUCCUUUACCAUCAAGGAUGAUCAAAGGACUCGCACUUUUGAACUCAUUGAUGGUGGGGUUGCUGCGAAUAAUCCUACACUACUGGCAAUAAGUCACAUCCGCAAGGAGAUCUUGAAGGAAAACCCUUUGUUCAAUGAUGCAAACCUGAUGGAGAGCAAGAGCAUGCUAGUGCUCUCACUUGGAACUGGAACAUCCAAGUAUGAAGCAAAAUACAGUGCAGCCACAGCAUCUAAAUGGGGUUUGAUCAAUUGGCUCUUUGACAAUGGCAAAACACCACUGCUUGACAUUUUUUCAGAUGCUAGUUCAGAUGUGGUUGACUUCCAUGUCUCCGCCCUUUUUCAGUCCCUCAAUUGCAAGGAUUAUUACCUGCGAAUUCAGGAUGAUACGCUGACAGGUGAUGCAUCAUCGGUUGAUAUCGCAACCAAGGAGAAUUUGCAAAGGCUUGUGGACAUUGGAACAGAACUCCUGCAGAAGCCGGUGUCAAGGGUGAAUUUGGAAAAUGGCAGGUUUGAAAACAUUGCAGGGGCCCCUUCUAAUGAAGCAGCUCUAGCUGACUUUGCAAGGCUGCUCUCAGAGGAACAAAAACUCCGACACAAAUCACCCUCAAGCCUCAACUGAAAGUUGACAUUUGUUGACAUAAUGUCUUGUUUGGCCGGGCUUUGUGACUCUUUAUCGUAAAAGUUAAUAAUAUCUACGUGGGCUUAAUGGUCAGUUUUGCCAUUUUCUCAAUUUUAGCCUGCAGUCAUAUUCUGGCAAAUUGAAGAAUGGAAUUGCUAACUGGGCAUUGGCAUAGUAAGUCUAUGAAAAUUUGAAGAAAAUAUGGUCUGACUCUGUCUCUCUUAUUCUCGCC